rnacentral:rRNA from 1 species
UACGUAGGGUGCAAGCGUUAAUCGGAAUUACUGGGCGUAAAGCGUGCGCAGGCGGUUGUGCAAGACAGAUGUGAAAUCCCCGGGCUUAACCUGGGAAUUGCAUUUGUGACUGCACGGCUAGAGUGUGUCAGAGGGGGGUAGAAUUCCACGUGUAGCAGUGAAAUGCGUAGAGAUGUGGAGGAAUACCGAUGGCGAAGGCAGCCUCCUGGGCCAACACUGACGCUCAUGCACGAAAGCGUGGGGAGCAAACAGG